rnacentral:rRNA from 1 species
CCACCACUAAGCCAGUGGUGAACUCCACAUACGCAUCCUUUGCUGAGGAUACGGUUAACGGAGCGAAAGCGACGUUCAACCGCAAAAGAAGCAGAGGGGGCUUAGUGGUGGGGUGACUGCGUACCUUUUGUAUAAUGGGUCAGCGACUUAUAUUCUGUAGCAAGGUUAACCGUAUAGGGGAGCCGCAGGGAAACCGAGUCUUAAUUGGGCGUUAAGUUGCAGGGUAUAGACCCGAAACCCGGUGAUCUAGCCAUGGGCAGGUUGAAGGUUGGGUAACACUAACUGGAGGACCGAACCGACUAAUGUUGAAAAAUUAGCGGAUGACCUGUGGCUGGGGGUGAAAGGCCAAUCAAACCGGGAGAUAGCUGGUUCUCCCCGAAAGCUAUUUAGGUAGCGCCUCGUGAAUUCAUCUCCGGGGGUAGAGCACUGUUUCGGCUAGGGGGCCAUCCCGGCUUACCAACCCGAUGCAAACUGCGAAUACCGGAGAAUGUUAUCACGGGAGACACACGGCGGGUGCUAACGUCCGUCGUGAAGAGGGAAACAACCCAGACCGCCAGCUAAGGUCCCAAAGUCAUGGUUAAGUGGGAAACGAUGUGGGAAGGCCCAGACAGCCAGGAUGUUGGCUUAGAAGCAGCCAUCAUUUAAAGAAAGCGUAAUAGCUCACUGGUCGAGUCGGCCUGCGCGGAAGAUGUAACGGGGCUAAACCAUGCACCGAAGCUGCGGCAGCGAACGUAUCACUUAAAGCGAUUCAGCGGGUUACGAUUGACGGAGCGAAGCGACGUCAAAGCGUAUACAAAGUCGAGUCGGUUUAAGGAUACGUUCGUUGGGUAGGGG